AGACCCGAAACCCGGUGAUCUAGCCAUGGGCAGGUUGAAGGUUGGGUAACACUAACUGGAGGACCGAACCGACUAAUGUUGAAAAAUUAGCGGAUGACCUGUGGCUGGGGGUGAAAGGCCAAUCAAACCGGGAGAUAGCUGGUUCUCCCCGAAAGCUAUUUAGGUAGCGCCUCGUGAAUUCAUCUCCGGGGGUAGAGCACUGUUUCGGCUAGGGGGCCAUCCCGGCUUACCAACCCGAUGCAAACUGCGAAUACCGGAGAAUGUUAUCACGGGAGACACACGGCGGGUGCUAACGUCCGUCGUGAAGAGGGAAACAACCCAGACCGCCAGCUAAGGUCCCAAAGUCAUGGUUAAGUGGGAAACGAUGUGGGAAGGCCCAGACAGCCAGGAUGUUGGCUUAGAAGCAGCCAUCAUUUAAAGAAAGCGUAAUAGCUCACUGGUCGAGUCGGCCUGCGCGGAAGAUGUAACGGGGCUAAACCAUGCACCGAAGCUGCGGCAGCGACACUGUGUGUUGUUGGGUAGGGGAGCGUUCUGUAAGCCUGUGAAGGUGUGUCGUGAGGCAUGCUGGAGGUAUCAGAAGUGCGAAUGCUGACAUAAGUAACGAUAAAGCGGGUGAAAAGCCCGCUCGCCGGAAGACCAAGGGUUCCUGUCCAACGUUAAUCGGGGCAGGGUGAGUCGACCCCUAAGGCGAGGCCGAAAGGCGUAGUCGAUGGGAAACGGGUUAAUAUUCCCGUACUUGGUGUUACUGCGAAGGGGGGACGGAGAAGGCUAUGUUGGCCGGGCGACGGUUGUCCCGGUUUAAGCGUGUAGGUGUGUGUUCCAGGUAAAUCCGGUUCACUUUAACACUGAGGCGUGACGACGAGGCACUACGGUGCUGAAGCAACAAAUGCCCUGCUUCCAGGAAAAGCCUCUAAGCAUCAGGUAACAUCAAAUCGUACCCCAAACCGACACAGGUGGUCAGGUAGAGAAUACCAAGGCGCUUGAGAGAACUCGGGUGAAGGAACUAGGCAAAAUGGUGCCGUAACUUCGG
rnacentral:rRNA from 1 species